AAUAGGCAUUCGGCCAUUUUCUCAAAAUACCAAACACAAAGCAGCUCUUUGCAAACUCGGGCGCUCUCGCUUCCUCUCGCCUCGGCCCGCUCACUGCACAUAUUUACACACCAACUCGCGGGAGUCGCCCUGACACUCGUCCCGAGCCUUUUCCUGCGCUCUCCAACACUAAAACGGGGGAAGGGAGCAAGCUCGGGACGCUGUUUGGCCGGACCGAGUCCUCCUGGAGUCCAGGCAGCCCCCUCCCCAGCCCUAGGGCCCCCGUCCCGAGAAAGAACGGAAAGUUACCGCGCAGCCGGCGUCCGGGCUUCUCCGACCUCCCCCGGGCCCCUCCGACCGCCCCGGGACUCGCCCAACGCCCAGGGCCGGGGAGGCUCCGCGGGCGCCCUCGCGAGGCGUCGGGCUCCGAGCACCGGAGAGGGCCCCCACGCGGGCCAGCCGCCGCCCCCGCGCCCCGGAAGUUUGCGAACUUCACUCCCCCACGGCGCCCGGCAGGACGCGCGCCCCAGCCCCGCCAGCUCCAGCGGUCGGGUAGCCGGACGCGGGGGCCAGCGGCGCCGGGCGGCCGAAGCGCAGAAAUCGCUGUCCAGCCCCGCUGGCGGAACCGCCCGGGCUCCGGGGCUGACUCAACCCGCCCGGCCGCACUCAACGGCGCCUUCCGGCGACAGGGAGAAGCCCUGGGGGAGGGGACCAGGAGGGCCGCGGGCCGGCGCGGGGCUGCGGUGGGACCCGGGGGCAGGAGGAGGAAGCAGACGAAGUUUCAGGACUAGGGGCCCGAGCAGCUCCGCUCCUUGGUCUCAGAGGACCCGACUCGGAGGAGCGUCCGGUCAGCGCGGAGGCGGCGUCUCGGCCUCCAGUGGGGAGGGGGUCCAGGCGACGCGCCGCUCCCAACAAACGCCCCCAGCCCCCGGGCGGCGGCUGUGUAACCCGAUCCUGCUCGGCCGCCAGCCCCCGCCCGGCGCGGCCGCCGCCGCCGGAGCCACAGUAUCUGCAAAUCAGCCCUGGACAGCGCCUGGCUCCUAG
rnacentral:lncRNA from 1 species